rnacentral:sRNA from 1 species
CCACACCCAGUGGUACUUCAACAUUUCUACAUUUUAAAAUGACCAGAAGAAUAAGAUAUUUCUUUUAUUUAUAAAUAGUGAAUUUUAAUCCAAAGUAGCACUGAAUUCAAUGACUAUCUCUGAAACUCCCUGUAAUAUUUAACUUGCUUUAGAGAUGUAGUGCAGGGUAGAGUGCUUGCCCACCAUGUUCAAGACCCUGGGCUUCAUCCUCAAUACCCCAGGUGUGUGUGCAUGUGAGAGCACACACACACACACACACACACACACACACACACACACACACACACACAAAUUCACUUGCUCUAUAGCAAGGGUUCUUGAUAGUGGCACCAUUAGCACAAAAUUCUUUGGAAUGUUAACCGUGUCCUUGGCUUCAGCCCUCUAGAUGUCAGUCAGAAUCUGCUAAUAAUGACAAUUAAAAAAGAAUCGACAAAUUGCUUUCAGUUGAGAGCUACUAUUUUACAUCAUUUAAAGAGACAGACUGUGAAAUAUAUGUUUUUACAGAAAACAGCAUAUAAUAAAAGCACAUUGACUUAGCAAGAGAAGUCCUCCCCUAAAUUACUUGUGUGAUUCAUAUGCAAUAGAGGUAAAUUUUGAAGAAUUAGUGAACUAACACUAUAUAGACUAUUUCCAAGCACACAGAGAAUAUAUCAAAACAAACAUCCACAUUUCACAAUAGACAUGCUUAAAAUUCUGGCUGCAGCAAAUACAUCAAAAGUUUAUAAAUAGACAUCACUUGGAGUAGGUGCUUCUGAUAUGCUUGAGAACAAGUUCUCAUAAAUGUUUAAAGUUUCAAUGUACUUACAAAAUUGUUUGCCAAAUCCUUUCUUGAUAUAAGGGUAAUGUAUCCCACAAACCAAUGAUUAGCAGAAUCCAAAUUAUGAGGUUUUACUGUAUCAAAAUUAUUUUUAUAAUUCAAAGAGUUAGCAAUAACAAUAAUUUAACCAUGGAUGUGAUUUUUCUCUUUGAAAUUUUCUGUUGCAUUAAUCAUAACACACACACACACACACACACACACACAAUCACCUCACCACCACCAUUUUUGUCAUCAUUGCCACCUUAGGAAAAUGAGUAAUGUUUAUACAUAUAAUCUUUUGCAUUUUCUCAUCUCUCUUCUGUUUGGACCACAAGAAAAACCACCCCAGAAACUUUAAUAGUGCUUCAGAAGAUGACCCUGAGUCUUGGUUACCAUCAAAUUACAUUAUAUCUACGAAGUGGUGUCUGCAGAUAAGGCUUGCAAAGCACCAUCAGGACAAGGAAAUUACAGACAGAUGACACCAUUGAUGUAUCUUUCUUUCAUCUUCAGAAUUUUUGCAUCUUUUCAAAAAAAAUGACAAAUUACUAUUUUUCUGUUGCAUUCAGCAAUUGUGACUAUACCUAAAAUUCUUGUAGUCUGUAGAGAUAAUCAAUAAAAUUGUAUAUGUUUGUACAUAGAUGCUCUCUUAUGUCAUGAUGUCACAUACUGUUGAUAUUUGGCCAAGAUUAAAUAUAUAGAGGUCAAACACACAUUUGCAAACUGUUAACUAUAGUUUUACCAAGAAUGGAUUUUUUUAACGUAGAAGGGAUGGGGGGCAUACUGAUUUGAGCAAAAAAAAAAAAAAAAAACAGAAAACAAAAUCUAAGCACCCUAAAUGUAUAGAUUCUGUUUGAAUUCAUUGAUGGAUUUUCUAUCAAACUGGGGACAUCCGUAACAGUUAGUGAACGGCUUAAAGGCAACCUGCUAGGCUAUUGACUGAAUGGUACCUGUGGUGGAAUAAAAGUAAAAGCAAACUUGUUAAUAGCGCCCACAUGACACCACUGUGGCUCAAGGACUCAAGGCUCAAACACUCAGGGAGGCAUUGUUGACUGCGUUCCUGUUUCGGGAGUUUAUACUGCCAUCUAGUGGUCGUGAGGUCGGCUGACUCGCUGCUCUCACCAGCUGGUUGAUUCUCCUUGAUUUUCCUACAAGGUGGCCUUAGCCAGCUAACUUUUUUGUUCUAAGUUCUAAUUAUCUUAGGAAAAUGGUCCCUUCACCACAAGCUUUCUUCUACAGUUGGAUCUAUAUAAAACCUAAAGAAAUGACAACUAGCCUUAGGCUAAAAAAUACUUUUGGGUAAAAGAAAAAUAUAUAGGGCCUUUUAAAAUAUAAAUGCUAAUCUCUAUUUCAGAUUUGUCUCAGGAGAAUCAGUUUAUCUUUCUGUUACAACAGCUUAAGUCCACAAACCUGCAUUCACCAUUUUCUUCUUCUUCCUUCCCUUUCAUCUCCCUUCCUUCUGUCACUCCGUCCCUUCCUCCCCUGCUUCCUCACUCCCACCCAACAGUACAUUCUUCCUCAAGUCUUUCCUUCCAUCUGCACUAUUUAAAGGGCAAGCCGGGCACUGGGGCAGGUUGGCAGUGGCAACCUCACACACCGGUGGGCACACAGGGGUGAGGUGAGAGGUGUACCCCACAGAGCAGAGCUGGGGGAGGGGCAGAUGAAACUGGUCAGUGAGCAUGGAAUUUGAGGUCUUCUUUGGAGCAGGGCAGAGGCAAUCCCUUUGGCUCUGAAGAGUGGCCACAUUCAAGGAAUUGAGCAUUUAAAUAAAUCACUGAGGACAGGGGAGCCAAGUUUCUCAUAGAGACUUCGGAAGUGUAUACAAUUGAGAGAAAAAACUAGAAUGCCUUAAAUUUUGGUUCUUCAACAUACAGCGGGAGUUGUAACUUUUCUGCUCAAAAUGGAUAAGGAAGAGGAUUUUUAAGAAUAACACCGCAAAGAGGAGAUAGUUGAGAGGUGAUUAUGCUGUGUAUAGAACUACAAAUAUUCCUUGUCAGUAUAAUUAUUAUUUCUCAAUUAAAAAUAAUAAGACUUCUUAAAGAAGGAAAGUUAGAAAAACUCUGGUAAUGUCCAGUUCAAUUGGUUAUCAGUGUGAACUUUGUGCAUAUAUACAUAUAUAUGUACUAUAUACAUUUAUAUAAUUGUAUCUAUAUAAAUAACUAUACAUAGAUACACAUGUAAAUAUGCACUAUAUAUGUGUGUGCACAUGCUGAAAAGGUGUGUGGAUGUUGUAUAUAAAUAUUUCCUAAUGCUGACCACCAAAUAGAUAGAAAGAUACACAGCAGUCAACACAAUUAGUGCUGGAUUAUGAUUUCCAAAUUUUCUCUCUGCUCAUGUGCUAGAGCAUCAUGAGGAGAAUGACUGAUUCAAUUCAGUUCUGUAUCAGAGAAUGAGGUAUACGAUGAAAGAUAGCUACAUGUCAGAAACACUCAAAAAUAGCUUGAAAGAGCUUACACAGGCCAAGUCAAGGACAGUGUAACUAUAGAAUAUAGUAAUAACUGAAUAAAAUAGGAACCUAGGAGUUCACACUGAUGUAAGUAAAUACGGAGGAGAUAAAGUUACCCACACAAUCCGAUGCCAGCCAGUAAAUAUAAAUGGAAUUUAAAAGUCGCUGUUAGAUAACCAUUGUUAUAAUAUUUGGGCAAUAUUUACCAGUUAGUGCUCAAACUACUGGGGUUGAAGGCGGAUGUCCGUAGACAAUGAUUUUCAUCAUCUCCAAGUAUCUUCAAAAUUUGCUAAACAUUAAAAAACAUUUACACUAAGAAACGUUUAUUGGGGAGCAAGUCAACAUCCUGCGCUUCCUUUGAAAAGAGCAGGGCGUUCCUGCCACGGUGCAAGCUGGGGCUCACCCUGUGGCAAUGUUAAAUAGAACCAAACGGAGGGGUUUCUAUACAUGGCCUCCCCCUAGGAAUUCUGUUUGUGUAAUGAGAGACCAGGAAAGAUGGAUAUUCCAGAUCUGAGAAGCCAAAAUCCACAACUGCAUGUGAUAUAUGACCAUAGAUUGAAGCAUUUUGCCAUAGAUGUCAUGACAUAAGUGGAGCGAUUAGCAAAACUCCAGUGUGGUUUCCACCUGAUUACGAUUCUUUGUACCAUUCUUGAAACUUUUCUUUAGAUUUGAGCUUAUUUCAAAAUAAAAUUAUAAAAAUAAAA